AUUGAACGCUGGCGGCAGGCCUAACACAUGCAAGUCGAACGAGUGGCGGACGGGUGAGUAAUGUCUGGGAAACUGCCCGGUGGAGGGGGAUAACUACUGGAAACGGUAGCUAAUACCGCAUACCAUCGGAUGUGCCCAGAUGGGAUUAGCUAGUGGGUGGGGUAACGGCUCACCUAGGCGACGAUCCCGAGCUGGUCGGAGAGGAUGACCAGCCACACUGGAACUGGGACACGGUCCAGACUCCUACGGGAGGCAGCAUUGGGGAAUAUGGCACAAGGGGCGAAAGCCUGAUGCAGCCAUGCCGCGUGGAUGAAGAAGGCCUUCGGGUGGUAAAGUACUUUCAGCGAGGAGGCGUUACUCGCAGAAGAAGCACCGGCUAACUCCGUGCCAGCAGCCGCGGUAAUAC
rnacentral:rRNA from 1 species